rnacentral:rRNA from 2 species
UUAAGCGACUAAGCGUACACGGUGGAUGCCCUGGCAGUCAGAGGCGAUGAAGGACGUGCUAAUCUGCGAUAAGCGUCGGUGAGGUGAUAUGAACCGUUAUAACCGGCGAUUUCCGAAUGGGGAAACCCAGUGUGUUUCGACACACUAUCAUUAACUGAAUCCAUAGGUUAAUGAGGCGAACCGGGGGAACUGAAACAUCUAAGUACCCCGAGGAAAAGAAAUCAACCGAGAUUCCCCCAGUAGCGGCGAGCGAACGGGGAGGAGCCCAGAGCCUGAAUCAGUGUGUGUGUUAGUGGAAGCGUCUGGAAAGGCGUGCGAUACAGGGUGACAGCCCCGUACACAAAAAUGCACAUAUUGUGAGCUCGAUGAGUAGGGCGGGACACGUGGUAUCCUGUCUGAAUAUGGGGGGACCAUCCUCCAAGGCUAAAUACUCCUGACUGACCGAUAGUGAACCAGUACCGUGAGGGAAAGGCGAAAAGAACCCCGGCGAGGGGAGUGAAAAAGAACCUGAAACCGUGUACGUACAAGCAGUGGGAGCCUCUUAAUGGGGUGACUGCGUACCUUUUGUAUAAUGGGUCAGCGACUUAUAUUCUGUAGCAAGGUUAACCGAAUAGGGGAGCCGAAGGGAAACCGAGUCUUAACUGGGCGUUAAGUUGCAGGGUAUAGACCCGAAACCCGGUGAUCUAGCCAUGGGCAGGUUGAAGGUUGGGUAACACUAACUGGAGGACCGAACCGACUAAUGUUGAAAAAUUAGCGGAUGACUUGUGGCUGGGGGUGAAAGGCCAAUCAAACCGGGAGAUAGCUGGUUCUCCCCGAAAGCUAUUUAGGUAGCGCCUCGUGAAUUUAUCUCCGGGGGUAGAGCACUGUUUCGGCAAGGGGGUCAUCCCGACUUACCAACCCGAUGCAAACUGCGAAUACCGGAGAAUGUUAUCACGGGAGACACACGGCGGGUGCUAACGUCCGUCGUGAAGAGGGAAACAACCCAGACCGCCAGCUAAGGUCCCAAAGUCAUGGUUAAGUGGGAAACGAUGUGGGAAGGCCCAGACAGCCAGGAUGUUGGCUUAGAAGCAGCCAUCAUUUAAAGAAAGCGUAAUAGCUCACUGGUCGAGUCGGCCUGCGCGGAAGAUGUAACGGGGCUAAACCAUGCACCGAAGCUGCGGCAGCGACACUAUGUGUUGUUGGGUAGGGGAGCGUUCUGUAAGCCUGUGAAGGUGGCCUGUGAGGGUUGCUGGAGGUAUCAGAAGUGCGAAUGCUGACAUAAGUAACGAUAAAGCGGGUGAAAAGCCCGCUCGCCGGAAGACCAAGGGUUCCUGUCCAACGUUAAUCGGGGCAGGGUGAGUCGACCCCUAAGGCGAGGCCGAAAGGCGUAGUCGAUGGGAAACAGGUUAAUAUUCCUGUACUUGGUGUUACUGCGAAGGGGGGACGGAGAAGGCUAUGUUGGCCGGGCGACGGUUGUCCCGGUUUAAGCGUGUAGGCUGGUUUUCCAGGCAAAUCCGGAAAACCAAGGCUGAGGCGUGAUGACGAGGCACUACGGUGCUGAAGCGACAAAUGCCCUGCUUCCAGGAAAAGCCUCUAAGCAUCAGGUAACAUCAAAUCGUACCCAAAACCGACACAGGUGGUCAGGUAGAGAAUACCAAGGCGCUUGAGAGAACUCGGGUGAAGGAACUAGGCAAAAUGGUGCCGUAACUUCGGGAGAAGGCACGCUGAUAUGUAGGUGAAGCGACUCGCUCGUGGAGCUGAAAUCAGUCGAAGAUACCAGCUGGCUGCAACUGUUUAUUAAAAACACAGCACUGUGCAAACACGAAAGUGGACGUAUACGGUGUGACGCCUGCCCGGUGCCGGAAGGUUAAUUGAUGGGGUUAGCGGUAACGCGAAGCUCUUGAUCGAAGCCCCGGUAAACGGCGGCCGUAACUAUAACGGUCCUAAGGUAGCGAAAUUCCUUGUCGGGUAAGUUCCGACCUGCACGAAUGGCGUAAUGAUGGCCAGGCUGUCUCCACCCGAGACUCAGUGAAAUUGAACUCGCUGUGAAGAUGCAGUGUACCCGCGGCAAGACGGAAAGACCCCGUGAACCUUUACUAUAGCUUGACACUGAACAUUGAGCCUUGAUGUGUAGGAUAGGUGGGAGGCUUUGAAGUGUGGACGCCAGUCUGCAUGGAGCCGACCUUGAAAUACCACCCUUUAAUGUUUGAUGUUCUAACGUUGGCCCGUAAUCCGGGUUGCGGACAGUGUCUGGUGGGUAGUUUGACUGGGGCGGUCUCCUCCUAAAGAGUAACGGAGGAGCACGAAGGUUGGCUAAUCCUGGUCGGACAUCAGGAGGUUAGUGCAAUGGCAUAAGCCAGCUUGACUGCGAGCGUGACGGCGCGAGCAGGUGCGAAAGCAGGUCAUAGUGAUCCGGUGGUUCUGAAUGGAAGGGCCAUCGCUCAACGGAUAAAAGGUACUCCGGGGAUAACAGGCUGAUACCGCCCAAGAGUUCAUAUCGACGGCGGUGUUUGGCACCUCGAUGUCGGCUCAUCACAUCCUGGGGCUGAAGUAGGUCCCAAGGGUAUGGCUGUUCGCCAUUUAAAGUGGUACGCGAGCUGGGUUUAGAACGUCGUGAGACAGUUCGGUCCCUAUCUGCCGUGGGCGCUGGAGAACUGAGGGGGGCUGCUCCUAGUACGAGAGGACCGGAGUGGACGCAUCACUGGUGUUCGGGUUGUCAUGCCAAUGGCACUGCCCGGUAGCUAAAUGCGGAAGAGAUAAGUGCUGAAAGCAUCUAAGCACGAAACUUGCCCCGAGAUGAGUUCUCCCUGACUCCUUGAGAGUCCUGAAGGAACGUUGAAGACGACGACGUUGAUAGGCCGGGUGUGUAAGCGCAGCGAUGCGUUGAGCUAACCGGUACUAAUGAACCGUGAGGCUUAACCUU